rnacentral:rRNA from 1 species
AUUGAACGCUGGCGGCAGGCCUAACACAUGCAAGUCGAACGGUAACAGGAAGAAGCUUGCUUCUUUGCUGACGAGUGGCGGACGGGUGAGUAAUGUCUGGGAAACUGCCUGAUGGAGGGGGAUAACUACUGGAAACGGUAGCUAAUACCGCAUAACGUCGCAAGACCAAAGAGGGGGACCUUCGGGCCUCUUGCCAUCGGAUGUGCCCAGAUGGGAUUAGCUAGUAGGUGGGGUAACGGCUCACCUAGGCGACGAUCCCUAGCUGGUCUGAGAGGAUGACCAGCCACACUGGAACUGAGACACGGUCCAGACUCCUACGGGAGGCAGCAGUGGGGAAUAUUGCACAAUGGGCGCAAGCCUGAUGCAGCCAUGCCGCGUGUAUGAAGAAGGCCUUCGGGUUGUAAAGUACUUUCAGCGGGGAGGAAGGGAGUAAAUUUAAUACCUUUGCUCAUUGACGUUACCCGCAGAAGAAGCACCGGCUAACUCCGUG